UACGUAGGGUGCGAGCGUUUGUCCGGAAUUACUGGGCGUAAAGAGCUCGUAGGUGGUUUGUCGCGUUGUUCGUGAAAACUCACAGCUCAACUGUGGGCGUGCGGGCGAUACGGGCAGACUGGAGUACUGCAGGGGAGACUGGAAUUCCUGGUGUAGCGGUGGAAGUGCGCAGAUAUCAGGAGGAACACCGGUGGCGAAGGCGGGGUCUCUGGGCAG
rnacentral:rRNA from 1 species